ensembl:lncRNA
GGUUCUCAUUUGAAAACUUUAACACUAUACGUUUUAUUUAUGUUCGCUUUUCAGGUUAUUUAUCUGUAUUAAGCAUUUAAUAUUCUUGGGCAAAUCACUAUUUGGUUUAAAUCUGUAGCUUUUCUGGUUUCAUUGGUGCUCUGUCAGUGUACCUCAACAGAAGUUAUAAACCACAAUACUUUAUUGCAAGGACAGUCUCAGAAAAUAAUAAAGCACCUCAUCAGAAGCCCGUAAGGUGUUCUGGAGACAUUUACUGAAUAAGCUAUAUUUUGCCCACUUGGGAUAGACAAACAUGCAGACAUUCAGAGUUGUUUUGUUAAUGAGUUGUUUCAAGGGAAGAGAACUACUUUUUUAGAGGAAAUGAUUAAAAUGUCUUAAAAAAGCAGUUCUAAAGCAAUUACUGAAGUUAACAGGGUUGUCCACUUGACCAUAACUUCUCUUAGCAUGCACAAACUCCUAUCUAACCACCUGCCGAAUUCCAAAGGUGUGAUAAAAAUACUUUGAUGGGGAGGAUAAGAUAAACAUUAGAAUGUUUACAGCCUAUUGCUUUUUAAGUCCUAGAUCAGAUUCACUUCAUUGACAUAGACUCAACCAGGGGGAGUAAAGAUACAAAUUAGUGAUCUGAGGAAUAGUUAUGGAAUGUUCUUUGUGUAAGCCUUAUUUAUAAAUAUACUGUUUUAAACAUUUCAGUAGAGCAUUGUAGAUGAAGUCUAUUUAAAAUAAAUUGAAUAAUAAAUUGAAUACCACUGGUAUAGAUGUAGAUUAUAUGAGUGACCUAAUUAUUCUGAUAUAUUUUGUUAAAAUUUGUAGUAACUACAAUCCUGAAGUUUUUCUAAAACUGAAAACAUUUUUAUGUAUGAAGUGAGAUGUAUUUAUAUAUGACACUGAUUGAUUUUUAAGGCCCUUCUUCUAUAGACCAAGAGGGAUGAAAAAGUCUGACAUCACAUCUAGAAGUUUACUACCAUCUUUGGAAUGAUUCCAAUGUCAGAAGUCACAGCAAUGGUGGAGUUGCUAUUGAUGUUCUCAGUCCUGUUUAAUCUUGGUCAUUCUUCACUUCAUACAAUAUUUUAUCUUUCCUAUCAUGUGAGUUCCAUCGUGGAGAGGUGAAACAUAUAACUCCUGGAGAACAGAUUUGGACCAGCCUGAGCCCAGGAUUUUUCACUAAACUGUUUACUGUACAGCAGCAUUAUGGAACUUCUGAAUUUUGGGAUCCUCCUCUGCGGGAUCUUGACUGUUCUCACCCUUGCUGUAUCUACAACUCUUAAUUUUUCUUGCUUAAAAAAAAAAAAUAAAUAAAAUAAAAUU